rnacentral:rRNA from 3 species
AUACUUGACCUCAAAUCAGGUAGGACUACCCGCUGAACUUAAGCAUAUCAAUAAGCGGAGGAAAAGAAACUAACAAGGAUUCCCCUAGUAACUGCGAGUGAAGCGGGAAAAGCUCAAAUUUAAAAUCUGGCGGUCUCUGGCCGUCCGAGUUGUAAUCUAGAGAAGUAAUGCCCGUGCUGGACCGUGUAUAAGUCUCCUGGGAUGGGGCGUCAUAGAGGGUGAGAAUCCCGUCUUUGACACGGACUACCAGUGCAUUGUGGUAUGCUCUCAAAGAGUCGAGUUGUUUGGGAAUGCAGCUCAAAAUGGGUGGUAAAUUCCAUCUAAAGCUAAAUAUUGGCGAGAGACCGAUAGCGAACAAGUACCGUGAGGGAAAGAUGAAAAGAACUUUGGAAAGAGAGUUAAACAGUACGUGAAAUUGCUGAAAGGGAAACGCUUGAAGUCAGUCGCGUUGGCCGGGGAUCAGCCUUGCUUUUGCAUGGUGUACUUUCUGGUUGACGGGUCAGCAUCAAUUUUGACCGCUGGAAAAAGACCUGGGGAAUGUGGCAGCUUCGGCUGUGUUAUAGCCCCUAGUCGCAUACAGUGGUUGGGAUUGAGGAACUCAGCACGCCGCAAGGCCGGGUUUCGACCACGUUCGUGCUUAGGAUGCUGGCAUAAUGGC